UUCAGAGGAGCAGAGUGCGUUCAAGCAUGCUGAGGGUGAACCCUGCAGCAGCUGCAGCGCGAACAAUGUCCCAGACUCUGCAAAGAAGGGCAUAUAGAGUUGCUGGCCCAAACUCCUUGUGGCACAUCGAUGGCAACCACAAGUUGAUAAGGUGGAGGAUUGUUAUCCAUGGGGCCAUCGAUGGAUACAGCCGGUUGGUUGUGUUCCUCCGAGCCUCCGAUAACAACCGGAGCAGCACGGUGAUGGAGAGCUUCCUGAGUGCUGUGGCGAAGUAUGGCGUGCCUUCGAGGGUCAGGACUGACCACGGAGGUGAGAACAACUCGGUCUGCCUCAUGAUGAACCUUUUUAGAGGGUCAAACAGAGGUAGUGCUCUCCGGGGGAGAAGCACCCACAACCAGCGCAUCGAACGGCUCUGGGGGGGAUUUGUGGCGAGGAAUGUCCAACGUAUACUAUGAACUCUUCAACUUCCUGGAGAGCGAAGGUAUCGUGGACAUUGAAAACGAGAUGCACAUGGCGGCACUGCACUACGUGUACCUCCCGCGGAUUAACCGUGACCUUUGCGGCUUCAUUGAACAGUGGAAUAACCAUGGACUGAGGACGGAAAGGCAUGCUACUCCACUGCAGAUGUUCGUCAGAGGUUGCCUGGAACGGCAGGGACAGACCACUACUGCAAUGCUAUCCGUAUUUGGUGGAGAAGGAGGUGCUGUGGAGGAAGGAGGUGCGACGGAGGAAGGAGGUGCUGCGGAGGAAGGAGAAGGGGAAGACCCAGCAAGAGAGGGCGGUGCUGGUGCAGGAGAGGUGCACUGGCCUGAGAGGGUCACCGUACCCUCAAAUCAGUACCUCAUUGGGGAUGCUGUUUUGGAGCAGCUAAACAGCACCUUUGACCCUCUUGCUGGUCCUAGAGGAGACCUUGGACUGGACCUCAUCCGUGAGGUUGUGUCUCUUCUGGCAUUACAAUGAGACAAUGUCUCAUUGUUAUUGUUCCCCCCCGUGGAAGGACGCUUGAAGUUCCCCCACACACACACACACACACAGGGAAGGACGCUUGGAGUGCCCCCACACACACACACACACACAGGGAAGGACGCUUGGAGUGCCCCCCCACACACACACACACAGGGAAGGACGCUUGGAGUGCCCCCACACACACACACACACACAGGGAAGGACGCUUGGAGUGCCCCCACACACACAGGGAAGGACGCUUGGAGUGCCCCCCCACACACACACACACAGGGAAGGACGCUUGGAGUGCCCCCACACACACACACACACACACACACACACACACACACACACACACCUAUUUUCCCACUCAUGACCUGCACCUUGACGUGGUGAGUGGGCUUUCCACCAAGCCAGGUCAAACUAUUGUGUUCCAGCCUCACUAUGUUAAAGGUAAACAAAAACAAAUGUCUGACUGCAACAAAGUGCUCUAUCUCUGUAAAGUACAGUGGGGAAUUAGAAAAGUCCUACAUGGUUGAACUAUUUUCCAAAUGUUAAAGACAGACUUCUCAGUGACUUGGCUGAAUUCAUUGGCUUGGCUGCGUUCUGUUCCUGUUGUGGUAAUAAGAAGUAGAGCCCCCCCAUCUUCAUCUGCCUGGAAGCUGCCUUCUCCGGGUAAACUUCGUCCUGAAUGGGCUUCCUUCCAAUCGGGCUCUGCUCCUCACAUUAAGCAUAGCCCAUCUUUACCCAAGACGCAGAUGUUUUAUUCACUGUUAUCCCUCAAUAAAGUUUCUUUGAUGUGUUGUUAAUCAUGUAUGACUAAUGCUGCCCUACUGUGUGAAAGGUGUGAAAACGUUGGGAUAGCUUAUGGUCAUGAUGCUUACGUUGAGAAAUAUGUAGUAGGCCUACUGCUUAGAAAUGAAUUUUUAUGAAGCUUGUCUAUAUGCUAUUUCCCAUGAUGAUAAAUUAACAUUUCAUUGCUGUGAGUUGUGAAGAUUAUACAAAUAAAUAGUAAAUGUGC